rnacentral:tRNA from 1 species
UCCCUGAUGGUCCAGUGGUUAAGACUCUGUGCUUCCAGUACAAGGGGUACAGGUUCGAUCCCUGGUCAGGGGA